rnacentral:tRNA from 1 species
AUUUAUAUAGUUUAAACCAAAACAUUACAUUUUCAUUGUAAAAACAUAAUAUAAAAUUUUUAUAAAUA